AAGACUAUAGACCUGCGGAGUACCUGCGGAAGGAUCAUUACAGAGAGCGCCCUGCGCACCUCUCCAACCUUUGCGUACCGAAUCUCGUAUCUUGCGGGUGGUUACCUGCCCGCAGGUUUUUAACGAACGCGUUUGAAUCGUCUGAUUUUUUCCACAAAGAAAACAACUUUCAACAAUGGAUCUCU
rnacentral:misc_RNA from 1 species